UUUAAGGUCUAGCCUGCCCAAUGAGGAUUUAAAUGGCCGCAGUAUUUUGACUGUGCAAAGGUAGCAUAAUUAUUAGUUUUUUAAUUGAAAGCUUGUAUGAAGGGUUGGACGAGAUAAAAUCUGUCUUUAUUUAAAUUAGAGUAUAACUUAACUUUUAAGUCAAAAGGCUUAAAUCUUUAUAAAAGACGAGAAGACCCUAUAGAUCUUUAUUUAUUUGAAAUUUUAAUAAUUUAGGAUUAUUUUAAUUUGAAGUUUUAAAUAAAUUUUAUUGGGGUAAUAUAAAGAUUAACUAAAUUCUUUUUAUUUAUUACAUUGAUUUAUGAAUAUAUGAUCCAUUAAUAUUGAUUAUAAGAUUAAGUUACCUUAGGGAUAACAGCGUAAUUUUUUUGGAGAGCUCAUAUCGAUAAGAAAGUUUGCGACCUCGAUGUUGGAUUAAAAAUUAGCUUGGGUGCAGAAGCUCAAGAUUUUGGUCUGUUCGACCAUUAAAUUUUUACAUGAUCUGAGUUCAGACCGGCGUAAGCCAGGUCGGUUUCUAUCUUUAUUUAAAUAAAAUGUUUUAGUACGAAAGGACCAAAUAUUUAAUAUAGUUAUAUUUAUUUUUUGAAGAAUAUU
rnacentral:rRNA from 1 species